rnacentral:piRNA from 1 species
UAGAAAAGACUCAAGGAUUUGAGCUUGUUU